UGAAUGAGAAUGUUGGAGAUCUCUCUCUCUCCAUCUCUCUAUCCCUAUAUCUUUCUCUGUGUUUGACUCUUUCCCUCUCAAAACAACUACUGGAGACACAUAAUCAGUUUAAAGGCAGGAGCUGUGGCAUAGCCAGUUAAACUACCAUCUGCAGUGCCAGCCUCCUAUGUGGAAGUCAGUUCAAGUUCCCGCUCCUCCAAUUCAUAUCCAGCUGUCUUCUAAUGGCCAAGGAAAGCAGUGGAAGAUGGCCAAGCCUUUGGGCCCCUGCACCCUUAUUAGAAACCUGAAAGAAGCUCCUGGCUCCUGG